rnacentral:rRNA from 1 species
UACGAAGGGGGCUAGCGUUGUUCGGAUUUACUGGGCGUAAAGCGCACGUAGGCGGGUUGUUAAGUCAGGGGUGAAAUCCUGAGCUCAACUCCAGAACUGCCUUUGAUACUGGCAACCUAGAGGCUGGAAGAGGUUAGUGGAAUUCCCAGUGUAGAGGUGAAAUUCGUAGAUAUUGGGAAGAACACCAGUGGCGAAGGCGGCUAACUGGUCCAGAUCUGACGCUGAGGUGCGAAAGCGUGGGGAGCAAACAGG